UGGCGGGCGGCGGCGGCGCGGAUACCGUGCGAUGGUGUCGCUCAAGGCCUCGAGGUCGAGGCCGUGCCGGCGGCCGAGGCAGCGUGGGAGCAGUGGGACGCUGCUGCCUCGAUGGCUGGAUCCCUCGACAUGGUCCUGGACUCGCCACAGCUUCUCUCGGAGCAAGGAGCCGAUAGGUCGACCUCCACUCCUGAUUCGUCCGCACUGAACAAGGAUACCCUAGAUGGUCGAGAACAAUCUUUACAAGUACCUGCUGCCUCUUUAUAAGAUAGCAAUGAUAGAAUCAACAGGUUAAUUGCCAUGCAAAAAAGGUGAUCAGAAGCACAUAAGGCAUCACUGCCAUCUCAAGUCCAGAAGCGAAAGAGGUCAACUUCAGCAGUUAAUGCUUCAAAUACUGUACAUAUAAGUGAAACAGAUCAACUUCAGCAGUUCACUAGCUCUCCCACUCCGACCUCUCCAGUUCAUAAGAGAAGCAAAAGAAUUGGGGCAAAGAAAUCACUUGUUUGGAAGCAUUUUGAUACAGGAUUGAGGGGGGCAAGAUCCUAUUUCAACAUGCAAAUAUUGCAGGCAAGUAUAUGCUUGCGAUAGAUCAACUCAUGGAACCAGUGCCAUCAGCAUCCUAUGGCACCAUCUAAGGUUCUUGUGCCCGCAAGAGCCACUCAAGGGUCAGGACUUGCAAAGGAAGAACCAAGGAACAACAAAACAUUCUUUCAGCAUCGAAGAUUGUCGCAAAGCACUUGCAGAGAUGGUAAUAAUUGAUGAGAUGCCUUUCAGAUCUGUUGUGGGUGAAGGAUUCAAAAGAUAUUCCAAAGUACUGCAACCAAGAUUUGAAAUCCCUUCUAGAAUCACAGUAGAAAGAGAUUGUAUGCAGCACCACAUUGAUUUCGUUGAGCUGGACACAAAGCCUUUUGAUGCAAGUGUGAGAGUAGUACUAGUUAUGCUAGUCCAAAGGCAACAACAAUUUUGUUUAUGUUUUGGUCAAGUUAAAUCUUUGUUGGGCCCUUGCUACCAGAAAUCAUGUAUUCAAGGGCAGACAUCUGAUGUAGCAACAUGAACCGUUCCCUAGCCAUGAAGUUCUCUUUCCACACAAGGACAAAA